CCUGGUGAAGGCGGCUUUACAGGUAUAACUGGAAAAAAGGGUGAAGUUGGAUACGAAGGUCUAGCCGGUCAGCUCGGUGAAAGAGGUGAACCUGGUAAGCCAGGUCUGAAGGG